AGUAACACGUAGUCAACCUACCUUACCGUCCGGGAUAACUAGCCGAAAGGUUAGCUAAUACCUGAUACGAUCGUCGAGCGGCAUCGCUUGACGCUGAAAGCAGUAAUGCGCGGUUUGAGGGGGCUGCGGCCCAUUAGCUAGUUGGUGAGGUAACGGCCCACCAAGGCUCCGAUGGGUAGCUGGUCUGAGAGGACGACCAGCCACACUGGGACUGAGAUACGGCCCAG
rnacentral:rRNA from 1 species